GUCAGCAUAGUUUAAUUAAAACAUUAGGUUGUGGACCUAAAAAUAGAAGCUAGAGCCUCCUUGCAGACC
rnacentral:tRNA from 1 species